ACGUAGGGGGCGAGCGUUGUCCGGAAUCAUUGGGCGUAAAGCGCGUGUAGGCGGUUUCGUAAGUCUGCUGUGAAAGUCGGAGGCUCAACCUUCGAAUGCCAGUGGAUACUGUGAGACUUGAGUACGGAAGAGGAGAGUGGAAUUCCUGGUGUAGCGGUGAAAUGCGCAGAUAUCAGGAGGAACACCGGUGGCGAAGGCGGGUCUCUGGGCCGAUACUGACGCUGAGGAGCGAAAGCGUGGGGAGCGAACAGGA
rnacentral:rRNA from 1 species